UACGUAGGGUGCAAGCGUUGUCCGGAAUUAUUGGGCGUAAAGAGCUCGUAGGCGGUCUGUCGCGUCGGCUGUGAAAACCCGGGGCUCAACCCCGGGCCUGCAGUCGAUACGGGCAGACUAGAGUGCGGUAGGGGAGACUGGAAUUCCUGGUGUAGCGGUGAAAUGCGCAGAUAUCAGGAGGAACACCAGUGGCGAAGGCGAUCAUCUGGGGUUGUUCUGACGCUGAGGAGCGAAAGCUAGGGGAGCAAACGGG
rnacentral:rRNA from 1 species